UAUAUUCUGGUGUAUGAUGCACAAAAGUUUUUGAUACUUUUAGAAAUAGUUUAAUUCUAUUAAAUAUAA
rnacentral:tRNA from 1 species